GUCUAGUGAACAGCAUGAAUGGUC
rnacentral:siRNA from 1 species